rnacentral:sRNA from 1 species
GAAGAAACAAUGAAUUCACAUAUUACAAAGAGUAAUCAUGUUUUAUUCGAUACUUUUUGUAAUAUGUGAAUUUUUUUCUUUUGAAGAAAUAUGAUAUUAUUUAAUACAAUUAAUGGAGGUCAUUUAAAUGACACAACAAGGUACAGUAAAAUGGUUUAACGCAGAAAAAGGUUUCGGUUUCAUCGAAGUUGAAGGCGGAAACGACGUAUUCGCUCACUUCUCAGCUAUCCAAGGUGACGGUUUCAAAUCACUUGACGAAGGUCAAAAAGUUGAAUUCUCAGUAGAAGACGGCCAACGUGGACCACAAGCUACAAACAUCGUAAAACUUUAAUUUUUAAUGAUGUAAACACAAAAGAGGCAUCCUUUCAUUAGGAUGCCUCUUUUU